CCCUUAGAUGUUCUGGGCUGCACGCGCGCUACACUGAUGCAGUCAACGAGUUUUUUCCUGACCCGGAAGGGCUGGGUAAUCUUUUGAAACUGCAUCGUGAUGGGGAUAGAUUAUUGCAAUUAUUAAUCUUCAACGAGGAAUUCCUAGUAAGUGCAAGUCAUCAGCUUGUACUGAUUACGUCCCUGCCCUUUGUACACACCGCCCGUCGCUCCUACCGAUUGAAUGAUCCGGUGAAUUAUUUGGACCGUGCAUGAUCCAGUUUGGAGACUGCGUGGAAAAUUUUGUGAACCUUAUCAUUUAGAGGAAGGAGAAGUCGUAACA
rnacentral:rRNA from 1 species